AAAAAUACGCAGACACCAAGUUUGUAAACACCUUAAGCCCUUUUGCAUCCCUGAAGAUUCUAUGGACGGCUCUGGGCAAUAACAGAAAAAAACCAAUCAACCCAUGGGACGCGGAGGUUAUGGCGAUUUAAGUUGUAAAUACUGCGGCAAUAGUAAAGACAAUUAAACUGGGUGCAAUAUUGGAGAAAUGGCUGGGAGCUGGAGCAAAUCAGCUUAGCCUGGGGGGAAUUAAGGCUCACGAGUUAAAAAUAGGAAAAGCAGCUCCAGAAACAGAGCUGAAAGGAGAUUAACCAUCAGACCCUAGGCUGUAGACUGUAGUCCCCAUAAUUCUCAUGUUUGGUCAGUUAUUAUUACGCAACCAUAAAAUCUUAGUGCCAUUCAACAAUAAGUGCUUAUUUUCCAUGCGUCAGCUUGUUGACUGGAGUUGGCUGAUCUAGACUCAGAUGGAUGGUUCUGCUUUAAGCUCAGGCUUGGCUAUGGUUGGCUCCACUUGUUUUUAAUCUGGGCAAACAGGUACGCAGAAGAAUCUCUUUUCAUGGCAAUGACGGAGACUCAGGAAGAUAAUUGCACAAGCACAUUUCAAGCUCUCGCCGAUAGUGCCUUUGCCAACAGCCCAUUGGCCAAAGUGUGAUUAUCGCUGGGAACGGACACCCCAAGAGACAAGAGCUGACUGGCGCCUGACCUGCUAUCUACCACCUGGAUAGCACGCCUCACCUCCAUACUUUCCACCACUCACAUCAAACCUAGGAUAGUGCCUACCUUGUGCCUUCUUAGCUCAUGUUCCGCCUGCUCUCUAGCACCUGAACAUCAAGGUCCACCUGAGGGAUUUCGGCAUGCUUGAAGAUCAUAUUUGAAAAAGUGACUCCAGCAAGUGUCUGCUAGACUUGAAGUGGGAUUUAAGAAAAAGCCAGAAUUGGAGCUACCAUGUUGAACUCAGGAUCACCUGGAAUGGAAAAAGCUAGGCUGCAGGUGAGAAACAUCAGAGAACAAGGGAUUAAGUGUGGCACCCAGAGCCACAAAACAAUGACCAUGCCCUUCUUUGUUUCACGAGAGACUCGAGCAGGUAUUUUGGCCUAUAUCUUUCUGUUGUUUGUUGGUGUGUGUUAACCACAAAAGGAUUAUUUCCACUCAUUACCUCAAAGAGUGUGUUUAAAAGUUAAGUUUUAGGUAACACUUCUGUGUUCAAAAAUUAUUUCUUUUUUUUUUUUUUUAAUGUUUAUU